rnacentral:tRNA from 1 species
GCCGGGGUGGGGUAGUGGUAGUCCUAGAGGCCUGUGGACGCCACCUGGGCGCGCAGACUAAGCUUCUGCAGAGCCUUUGGCACGGGAGCCUUAAAUUAAAAGGCCGUGAGUUCAAUUCCCGUCCCCGGCC